rnacentral:tRNA from 1 species
GCCUGAGUGGCUCAGUGGUUGAGCAUCUGCCUUCGACUCAGGGAGUACUGGGAUCGAGUCCCACAUCAGGUU